rnacentral:lncRNA from 1 species
AAGUAAUUAAUAGUUCCCAAUUUCCAUGCGAUGAAUGUUGAAUUCGACAAUUCAUCCUCGACAUCACCGCCAUCCCACAAUUUACACUAGAGUUCUCUCCUCGCUCUGCUUGAUAGUUGAAACUUGAAAUUUCCAGAAGUCGAAAAGCGUCGCUCCAUACCCCAUUGAGCUGCAUCCUCUAUUCACAGCUUGAGAAACCUAAAUGGAAGAUGAAAUUGCCUUUUCCCACUAUUCUGUGUUGCUAUUAAGGUUACUUUACUCUACUUUCUUUGUACUUUGAACCUUUGGCGUUUUGAUUUGUUCUCUAUGUGGUUUGAGAAUUUUUGUCUAACUAGUAUUUGGGAUCAUAUAUCUUUUCAAUGAAUUUCACAAAAUAGGGAAGGGAGACUGCACAAACUAAUUUUUUUUCAAAGUAAGCAGAAAAGAAGAUUCAACUAAUGCAUGCUUUUAUUUAUGAAAAUGGAGUUCAAGAACAUGCUUGUACACGAAAUAAGGAAGUGAAAGGGGCCAUGGGGGUUGGGGGAAGGUAACUGUUCUAAAUAGUUCUUUUUAUCUAAAAAUUUUACUAAUACAUACACCAUAUACAACAGAAACCAUUGGUUCUACUCCAAGGAAGAAUGAGACACCAUAUAUGCAGCUGGAGCCAUAUCUAGAAGGAUGCCAUGAUAGAACAAUCCACUAGAAGAUGUUGCAGCGAGAAAUCCAACUGUACCAGCUGGGCGAGCAAUACGUAAUGAUAUCGGAGUUCGUAAAAUUAUAGGCUUGCGCUGCACGGUAAUUCUAGUGAAACCAGUGAUAGAGUAAGAUUUACCAUCAUUUUCAUAAAAUCCAAUC